UACGUAGGUGGCAAGCGUUAUCCGGAUUUACUGGGUGUAAAGGGCGUGUAGGCGGUUUUGUAAGUCAGAUGUGAAAUCUCCGGGCUUAACUCGGAAACUGCAUCUGAAACUAUAAAACUUGAGUACUGGAGAGGAUAGUGGAAUUCCUAGUGUAGCGGUAAAAUGCGUAGAUAUUAGGAGGAACACCAGUGGCGAAGGCGACUAUCUGGACAGUAACUGACGCUGAGGCGCUAAAGCGUGGGGAGCAAACAGGAUUAGAUACCCGCGUAGUCCCU
rnacentral:rRNA from 1 species